GGUUGGCCUAGUGGUUAAGGCUUGGGACUUAGGCUCCUAAGGUCUCGGGUUUGAAACCUCCCAGAUGCUAUCA